GCUUAUGUAAGUAGGCCAAAAUAUUAGAAUAAUAUCUAUACUGAAUCAAAUUAAUCCCAUCAACCAAGAAUCCAAAUAUGGCUAAAACAGCACACAAAAUGCUGGUGGAACACAGCAGGCCAGGCAGCAUCUAUAGGGAGAAGUACUGUCGACGUUUCGGGCCGAGACCCUUCAUCAGGACUAAUAUGGCUAAAUAUAUUUUCAAUUUAAUAAUAGCCAAUGCUUAUACAAAAUGCUUAUUGUUUUUUGCUUGUGCUGUGGAACAUUGUGGGUAUGCUAUGUUGGUGCUGGAAUGUGUGACAAUACUUGCAGGCUGCCCACAGCAUAGGUCUGCUGGUCGUUAGCACAAAUGACUCAUUUCACUCCAUGUCUUGACGCACAUGUGAUAGAUGCCAAAAUCUGAAUACGAACUCAGUGCGCGGUGAACACGGUGUGUUCUUCUGUGGAUGCACAGCAGAGAGUGUUCUAACCAGUAUGGAAACAUCAAGGCCCAGGAACAGAGAUGGUUACAGACACUGGUGGAUACUUUCUAGUACUGUACAACAGAGACAAAGCCCAAUCACCUACCAUUGAGUACCUACAGGGGAGCGAUGAGAAAACAGAGCGCCCACCAUCUAGGCUAUGCCUCUUCUUGCAACUACUGCCGGGCUGGAUGCAUAGAAGCCUUACAUCCCAUAUGACAUGUUUAGGCACUGUUAUUACUCUACAACUAUCAGGCUCCGGAACCAGCAUAGAUAACUUAAUUCGUCAGUAUUCUGAGCUUAUUCAAAACCUACAGGCUCAAUUUCAAGGACUCUGUACAACUCGUGUUCUCAUUAUUUUUAUUUGCACCAUCUGCCUUUUGCACAUUGGCUGGUUGUCAGUCUUUGCUUAGGUAUAAUUUUUCAUAAAAUUCUACUCUAUUUUCUCUGUAAAUGCCUGCAAGAAAAUGAGUCUCAAGUUUCCUAAUUUGAUACGAACUUUGAACUUUUUUACUUAUUUGUAUAUAGUAUAUACUUUUUCACUAAAGCCUGAGAGAAAACCUGUAUGAUCGGUGCAAUAAUGAAAAUUGAUAGCUCAAAUUUGAAGAGAUUUGCUUCGACAAACCUAUCUUGUGAUUCAACUAAAUGCACGGUUGACGUUUAAGAUGGAGUUAUGAAAUUAUGUAUAGCAAAUUGAUUUAAAUGAGUAUCAGCCUUCUGGAAAUAAGACUUGUUCACAAAUCAACUUCAACAGAUCAAACUUUAUUAUCCAAGUAUGUAUAUGUCACCAAAUACUACCCUGAAACUCAUUUUCUUGCAGGCAUCCACAGUGGAGCAAAGAAAUAUCAUAGAAUCAAUGAAAAACUACACACAAUGACUGACAAGAAACCAAUGUGCAAAAGAUGGCAAACUGUGCAAAAACAAAAAAAAAUAUUGGGGGCAUCACGUGAUGACGUAGGAUAGAGAAGUUGGGAAUCCAGUUCCCUCGAAAAAGUAAUGAAAUAAGGUUUAAAUGAAGAAGAGUUAACAAAUACCUACUAGAAACUAUUUAUAAGUCAUUCAGGAUUAUCUUUUGAUAUGGCUCCUGAACCGAAACAGAAGAAAGCUACUACUUCGAAGACUGCGCAAAUCGGCGGGGGAAAAGGGCUAGCCGUCUCGGCGAAGCCUCGAACUCAAGUUGGAUCUCCUCCCGGCGAAGUGCAUGGCACUCCUGAUGAUGUGGGACAGGAAGUUGCAGCAAUGUCGGCGGUCUCUAAGAAGAAACGGCAAGAACAACACGUGUGAAAGUAUACAUGAACAGAUAUUAACAAAACUACAAAUCCCAACUACGACUGGAAGUGAAUCGGAAGUAGAAUCAGACUCUUUGGGAAAUUCAGAGGAAGAAGAAGAGGAAAAGGAGGAGAUUAAAGGAGACAUAAAAGAUAUCCUGAUAUAUGACGAAUGAAUUAAAAGCUAUAAGAAUAGAUAUAAGAAAAAUGCAGAAUACACUCGAUAAUGUGGUGGAAAAACAAAAGAAGAUGGAUAAUAAUGUUAAAGAGAUGGAAGUAAAAGUUGAAGAAAACACUGAAAGAAUAGAUAAGAUAGCAGACAAUAAUCUUGCCUGGACAACAGAAAGAAAACGGAUGUUAGAAAAAAUAGAUGCGCUUGAAAACUCUAGUAGACGAAAUAAUAUCAAAAUUGUUGGUCUUUUAAGAUUCUUAAGAAUGUAUUCCGAAAAUUUUGGAAAUGAAAGAAGGAAGCCAAGUAAUUGAAAUUGAAAGAGCACACAGAGCUUUAAGACCAAGACUUCAACAAGAUCAAAAUCCAAGAUCAAUUUUGAUAAAAUGCUUAAGGUACCAAGAUAAAGAAAUGAUCUUGAAGGCAGCUACUCAAGGUGCUAAAAAGAGAAAUGGGCCAUUGAUAAUAGAAGGGAAAAGAGUUUUUUUUUAUCCAGACAUAAGUUACGAUCUUCUGAAGAGGCGGAAGGAAUUUAAUCCAGUGAAAAAAUCUUUAUGGGAAAAAGGCUAUAAAUUUUUAUUGAGCUACCCAGCAAAAUUGAUAAUUUUCCUGGAUAACGAAGAAAGAAGAUUUUUCGCUGACUACCAGAAAGCGGAGAAAUUUGUACAAGAAUUACCUGAUGUCCACGAAGAGGAGGAAAGAAUUGUAGAAAUGAAAUGGACUAAUGAUGAAAACUGAAACAAGAUUGUACUGUGCUGAAGAUCAUGGAAGAGGAGGAAUUGAGAUGAAUAAGUUGUGAUGCCUUGGGCGACACACGAGUUACCAAAGAGGAAGUACUGGCUGUCUGAAAGUACACUGUGGAUAAAUCCCUAGGGCCUGACCAAGUGCACCCUCUGACCUUAUGGGAAGCUGGGAAAGAAAUGGUGGAGAUCCUUCCUGAGCAAACUAUCUCUCAGAUGCUGCAAGCAACAGACGAUUUUGAAAAUCCCGGGAGUUUACCAACGGUGAGGGAAUGGUGGAAGUCGGAACACUUGGCACAAAUGGCGAUGGACAUGCACCCAAGUUUAGAACAGAGUCAGCAUUUCAGUUGUUCCCUGCCAUCAACCCUUCUUCCCUACAAGCAAAUUUAUGCUGAAAAACAAAAAGCUGCCAAACAAACAACCUCACCAUUUACUCAAACCGGUGUCAUCUCCUGCUACCGACAGUUCUAAGAGUUCUGUGAGUCUUCCUUCACCCCUUGCUGUGCUUGAUAUGAUCCCGACACCACAACAACCACUCAUCUCCCGGAGCGAACACACCUGCCACUGUCGUUGCGAGCUCGACAUCAAGCCAGCACGGAUGGUACGGGAGUCACUGGAUCAACAUCGACCUGGCACGGGAGUGGUCUGUCACCGGAUCGAACCUCUGUUCUCGAGCCUGGCGUGAUCUCACUGCGCCACCAGCUGACCAGAAGGGGGGGGGGGGGGGUCAGGGUGAAUCUUACUAAGACAAAUUUAAGCCAAGUACAAAGUUAAACUCAACACAGUGUCAACAGCAAUGACUUAAAAUGGCACACAGCGUUCUCCUUCCUUUGUUCAUAAGUGCGAGUUGUCUGUAAAUCGGACGUUAGUAACUCGGGGACUACCUGUAUAUAUGUUUUCUCCAUAUCCCUUAAUACUUACCUUACUCAAAAACUGCUCUAUUCAGUAAUAAAUGUACCAAUCAAUUACCACUUAGAGAAGACAGAUACAAUUUUAUUUUAUUAAUUUGGCAUAUCUCCUCUCCCAAUGGAAUCCCAGAACCAUCCCCUAACCUACACAAUGAGACCCCAAACUUCACCUGAGAACCAUUGGAGCUACAUUAGCACCUCAAAACCCUUUCCCAAUAGUAGAAAAAAAUGCUCAUUAAGACUCGUAUAUCAGUCACUCUUGAGGUACCAUCUAGUCCUGUAUGGAACUGAAUGUGGAAAAUAAAGAUUCAAAACUCUUAAGUAAUGGCAGUAGCAGGAUAUAAUGUGAAGCUCAGCUGUGUUCAUUUCGGUGAAGCAUACAUGAGAAGUUGGUAGCAUGGGCUGUUUGGCUAUACAUUAAGGUCUGGGUAAUACAGGAAUGAAAGAUGACA